GUGACAGAGCAAGACCCUGUCUCUAAAAAAAAAAAAAAAGAGAGAGAGAGAGAAUACAGGAUAACAUCAUGAAAACUUCCUAAAAUACUGAGGAGUUGUCCAAGGAAUGUUAGGUCUAUAAGCAGUAGCAGAGUAGAAUUGCAGCCAACAGAGUAACUGAGGGUGAGUGGUAAAUCUAAAGCUGGCUGUAAGGAGGCAGCAGGGAAUAAAAUGCCAAAAGCAGCAGAUCCUCUAUUUGUAUCUCUAUUCGUAUCUCAGCUGAGGAGGGCGACCAGAUGCAUGAAAACAACUGACCAAGAGCCUGGAAAGAGAACAUUAGGUUGUUUCUUCCUCCCCACAUGCAAGGGAAAUGGUCAUAGUCUUAGAAAUAGAUUGGAAUAGAUAUUCUCUGCUCACCAUCUACCACCCCAUAAUACCGGCACUGAGCAUCUGUUUUGGUGAUUUGCUAAGGGUCAAUUAAGCUUUAGAAGCUCUUAGCAUAAAAAUAUGAUGAGUCCUCCACGUUAGUGAUCAGAAUAAGACCUAAAGAGUGAAGCACAACUUGCAGGAAUGCUGAAAUCAAAAUUGCUUUUUUCUAGAUGUUUUGAUUGCUAAAACCUGUGUGAUUUCACGAAGCUUAACUUUGCUCAUUGGCAUGGGGUUGGUGGCUCAGCUUUGCUAGUGUCUGUGCCCAAGCUGAGUCGGCCUGCUGGUUUAUCUACCGUGGACGUGUCCAGAUCCAGAAGCUGGAAAUGGCAGAUGGAGAGGGGACAGCACUCAUAAGGCUUGCACAGGUUCACUGUGGAAAGACUUUCUGAAUCCAUUUCCCUCCGAAGGGGCCACAGAUCCUAGGCCUCAGCACCCCUAGGCAGGCGGUAGCCCUCCUUCUCACCAGGGGCUGCUGCAUUGGAGCCGUGGAAGUGCCCUGGUGGUCACUUUGCAGUUUAACUUCCAGGCUGCACAGUAACACCACUGGAGGGAAAAUGUCUGUGUUUGAAGUAAUCAUAGGCUUUCUCCUCUAAUACCAGCCUGCCCUGCCAACGUGCCAGCAGCACAAAGGGCCCCACUAUUUAUCCUCCAUCACAGAGUAAGUGGCCUAUCCCCCCGCCGCUUGGCUCCAAGCUCCCUGUCUGGACAGGACACAGCUGGGCUUUCAUCUAAGGAGGGGAGAACUCCAGCUGAUUACUUUUGUUUGGCCUUCACUGAAGACAACAGAGCAGGAGGUACUUUUGCAUUUUGUCUUGUGGUGAAAGUCCCAAUGUGGGGUAACUCAAGAAGAUUUUCUCCUCAAGCAAAGGCUAACUCGUGGGGAAGAAUCACAAUUUUUUAAAAAUGACCAUUAAGAAGAUCAGCCAGAAUUUUAUGCAGAAAACAUGUAUUACUUGCAUCAUCAGAAAAAUAAAACUGCAUUAACUUAAAGAGGAAAAAAGAGGAAAUUAUCUGAAUAUUUUAAGCAAUUAUCUUAAGGAUAAAUUGGGUUUUCUCCUCACUCUCUCAAUGGCAGUCUCCUAUAACCUAAUGGCCCCAACUUUCACCUGUAAACUGGAGUUCCCAAAAUUUAUAUCCUCACACCCAUCUUUCAUAUAAGCCUCCAACUUACAUAUACCCAACUGACUACUUGGCAUCUCACUUUAUGUAUAUCACAACCUCUUCACAUUUAACACCUCAAAUACUGAAAUUCUUUCUUCUUUCAUGAUCUUCCCCCAAUUUUUACCUCCUUCUAGAUUCUUUCCUUCUAGAUUCUUGCUUUUACCUCCUUCUAGAUUCCUUCCAUACAAUCAAUUAUCAUUCCCAUUGUUCAAGUUACCCUAUGUCUCCUCUUUUCCUUCUUCCUUUAUCCUAUCAAUUUAUCUUAUUAUAACAGCUAACUUUUACUGAGCAUAAAUUCUGUGCCAGAUAUUAUUCUAAUUGCUUUAUACGUACUAUUACAUUUAAUCCUCACAACUCCAAUAAAUAAGUGCUAUUAUAACCCCCACUUUACAGAUAAAGAAACAGAAGUACAGAGAUGUUUUAUAAUUCUCUAUAUAAUGUCAUAAAAAUAGGCUAGUAGGAGAUCAAUGAUUUGGAUCCAGGCUGAUUUGCUCCAGAGCCUAGGCUCUUAACCUCAAUGCUAUACUGCUUUCUAAAAUUAUUGUGUAUUUAUAUAAAUUUAAAUGUGUGCAUUUUCAUCCCAUAGAUACUACCUAAAGUUCUGACCAUGAUGUAGGUAGAUAAUUCAUCCUUCAGAAUUAAGUUUCUAAUGCACAAAUGUUUUCUUGUCACCAUCCACUUAAUUUCAACGGAUCAUUUUCUGAAUUUGUCAUUUUCAGAGGCGUAUUGCUACAUUUGGGGCAAUGCGUACAUAUGUGGUUUCGUUAGCUCCAGCGGGGGCUAAUCCUCUGACAGAGCCACCUCUCACACGAAACACUGAAUGGAGGCGAUCCCGAGAUGGAUGGAGCAGCAGCAGCGCAGGUUGCUGCAGGACAGGACUAAUGGGAAGAUUGGAUGGGAUAAUGGAUCUCCUAAAGUAUCACACACCUAUAGCAACACGCAAACAAAGGAUACCAAUAAAGUAAUACUAUCGUGAAAGGUAUUAGAAAAUGUGAGGUGCUAUACAAAUACCAGUUAUUACAGAUAAGUACCACAGAAUUUGGAGUGCACCUAUGUUGAGCCCUAGCUAUUUCACUUACUAUAAAAUCAAUGUAUCCUCACUGUGUCUUCAGUGAAAUGUAAAAUGGAGUCUGUAUAGGGGUUAGGAACACAGACUCUAGAGUUUGACUGCCUGAGUUUAAAUACCAACUCUACUAUUUACUAGCUGUGUGACCUUAGGUAAAUUACUGAAUCCUUCUGUGUCUCAAUUUUCUCAUUAGUAAAAUGGGAUCAAUGUGAAGAUUAAAUGAGUUAAUGCAUAUAAAGCCCGUAGAAGAGUGCCUCUCUCAAAGUAACCCUAUAUACAUGUUUGCUGUUUCAACUGCAUAAUAAUAUUAAAAGAUUUUUUUCAAUCUUU
rnacentral:lncRNA from 1 species